AGCCCCCACUCCGGCCAACAUUGCAGCCCCAGCUGACCUCCGUUCACUCUCUCUUUCCUUCCUUCUCUCUGGGCUCUUUGCUCUCUCCUCCCACUCAACCCAUGAUUUCCCUACCAUGGAACACCAUUGUACUCACUCUAAUUCUCUUCCACAUAACUUCUUCCUCCGUUGAAGCAGAAGCUUCUCCUUCUCUGCUCGACAGAAUUACCGGGUUGCCGGGUCAGCCCCCCGUCGGGUUCCAGCAGUAUUCUGGUUAUGUGACCGUUGAUGCGAAAAAACAGAGAGCUCUGUUUUACUAUUUUGCUGAAGCAGAAAUAGAUCCAGCUUCCAAGCCUCUUGUCCUCUGGCUCAAUGGAGGUCCUGGUUGUUCUUCCCUUGGAGUCGGAGCAUUCUCUGAGAACGGACCGUUUAGGCCUAAAGGAGAAGUCUUGGUUCGAAAUGAACAUAGCUGGAAUAGAGAAGCAAACAUGCUGUACCUGGAGACACCAAUUGGAGUGGGGUUCUCUUACUCAACGGAUACUUCUUCCUAUGAGGCUGUAGCCGAUCACAUCACAGCCAGGGACAAUCUUCUGUUCUUGCAAAAGUGGUUUGAAAAAUUCCCGCAAUACAGAAAUAGAAGCUUGUAUAUUACUGGAGAAAGCUAUGCUGGUCACUUUGUUCCUCAGCUAGCAGAACUCAUGCUCCAGUUCAAGGAACAUCACUUCAAUUUGAAAGGAAUUGCUUUGGGUAAUCCAGUCCUAGAAUAUGCAACUGACUUCAAUUCAAGAGCUGAGUUCUUCUGGUCUCAUGGAUUGAUAUCGGAUUCAACUUACAAAAUGUUCAGUUCCGUUUGCAACUACUCGCGGUUUGUGAGUGAAUAUUACAGAGGCUCAGUUUCACCUAUUUGUUCGAGGGUGAUGAGCCAAGUGAGCAGAGAAACCAGUAAAUUUGUUGACAAGUAUGAUGUCACCCUUGAUGUUUGUAUAUCAUCUGUGUUUUCCCAAUCCAAAGCCCUCCUUCCUCAGCAAGUUGCUGAUUCAAUAGAUGUAUGUGUUGAGGAUGAAGUAGUUAAUUAUCUGAACAGGCCAGACGUGCAGAAGGCGCUUCAUGCUCGUCUUGUUGGAGUUCGACAGUGGGCAGUUUGCAGCAACAUACUGGAUUAUCAGGUGCUGGAUGUGGAGAUACCAACGAUCACAAUCGUAGGCAAACUUAUCAAAGCAGGAAUACCGGUCUUAGUUUACAGCGGCGACCAAGAUUCUGUUAUCCCGUUAACUGGAAGUCGAACAUUAGUUCAUGGACUUGCAGAGCAGUUAAGACUAAACACCACUGUGCCUUAUAGAGUCUGGUUUGAAGGACAACAGGUUGGUGGAUGGACUCAAGUUUACGGUAAUAUUCUUUCUUUUGCCACCGUUAGAGGAGCAUCACACGAAGCGCCAUUCUCGCAGCCUGAGAGAUCACUCGUGCUGUUCAAGUCGUUUUUGAAGGGCCGGCCUCUGCCAGAAGUGUUCUGAUCUACUGAUAAGUUACAUUGUCGCCGGAUUGAGAUUAUAAGAAGUUUGGUUGCAAAGGUUUAAUCAUCUGAGCAUGAAAAAAAUUGCAUUUGUUUGUUAUUUGUAACAGGUUACAUGGGUUUGUCCAUGCUGUGGAAAGUAGAAGAAUUUUGUAAACAUCUCAAGGAAAAACAGGAAAGAAAGAAGCACUCCAAAAGAUUAGUUGGAAUAUUAUGUAACUCAACACAA